CAAAUUUUGAUUCGUAACUUUCCUUUUUCCCCUAAUUUCACCCAUUUUCUUCUUCUCCUUUCUCUUCUUCUUCUGUGUUUUGGGUGGCUUUGGGUUCUUUUCCCCGUUUCGGGUGGGUUUUGUCCCCUCCCCUCCCCUCCCCUCCCCUCCCGUCCCACCCACCGCCCGUCCUCAGCGCCCCAACACCCGCAGCUCCUUCGGCUCACGUUUACCCCUCUCCAUUUACCCAAUUUCGGCUCAUAUCGCCCACUUUUCCCCAAAUUUCGGCCCACAUUUACCCAUUUUCCCCGAAUUUCGGGCCGAAUCCACCCACUUCCCCCAAAUUUCAGGCCGUAUCCACCCAUUUUACCCAAGUUUCGGUUCAUAACUCCCGUUUUUCCCCAAAUUUCACCCAUUUUCCCCAAAUUUCGGGCCAUAUCCACCCAUUUCCCCCAAAUUUCGGUUCAUAACUCCCGUUUUUCCCCAAAUUUCACCCAUUUUCCCCAAAAUUCGGGCCAUAUCCACCCAUUUCCCCCAAAUUUUGGUCCAUAUCCAUCCAUUUUCCCCAAAAUUCGGGCCAUAUCCACCCAUUUCCCCCAAAUUUUGAUUCGUAACUCUCCUUUUUCCCCUAAUUUCACCCAUUUUCUUCUUCUCCUUUCUCUUCUUCUUCUGUUUUUUGGGUGGCUUUGGGUUCUUUUCCCCGUUUCGGGUGGGUUUUGUCCCCUCCCCUCCCCUCCCCUCCCCUCCCCUCCCGUCCCACCCGCCGCCCGUCCUCAGCGCCCCAACACCCGCAGCUCCUUCGGCUCACGUUUACCCCUCUCCGAUUACUGAAUUUCGGCUCAUAUGGCCCACUUUUCCCCAAAUUUCGGCCCACAUUUACCCAUUUUCCCCAAAUUUCGGUCCACAUUUACCCAUUUUCCCCAAAUUUCAGGCCACAUUUACCCAUUUUCCCCAAAAUUCGGGCCAUAUCCACCCAUUUCCCCCAAAUUUUGGUCUAUAUCCACUAAUUUUCCCCAAAUUUCAGGCCAUAUCCACCCAUUUCCCCCAAAUUUCGGUCCAUAUCCACCCAUUUUCCCCAAAUUUCGGUCCAUAUCCACCCAUUUUCCCCAAAUUUCGGGCCAUAUCCACCCAUUUUACCCAAGUUUCGGUUCAUAACUCCCGUUUUUCACGAAUUUUCACACAUUUCCCCCAAAUUUUGGUCCAUAUCCACCCAUUUUCCCCAAAUUUAGGUUCAUAACUCCCGUUUUUUUCCCAAAUUUCAGCCAUUUUCCCCAAAUUUUGGGCCAUAUCCACCCAUUUCCCCCAAAUUUUGAUUCGUAACUCUCCUUUUUCCCCGUAUUUCACCCAUUUUCUUCUUCUCCUUUCUCUUCUUCUUCUGUUUUUUGGGUGGCUUUGGGUUCUUUUCCCCGUUUCGGGUGGGUUUUGUCCCCUCCCCUCCCCUCCCCUCCUAUCCCGUCCCCUCCCGUCCCACCCGCCGCCCGUCCUCAGCGCCCCAACACCCGCAGCUCCUUCGGCUCACGUUUACCCCUCUCCAUUUACCCAAUUUCGGCUCAUAUCGCCCACUUUUCCCCAAAUUUCGGACCACAUUUACCCAUUUUCCCCAAUUUUGGGCCAUAUCCACCCAUUUUCCCAAAUUUUGGGCCGUAUCCACGCAUUUUCCCCAAAUUUUGGUUCAUAACUCCCAUUUUUGCCCAAAUUGCGCCCAUUUCCCGCAAAUUUCGGCUCAUAUCACCCACUUUUCCCCAAAUUUUGGUCCACAUUUACCCAUUUCCCCCAAAUUUCGGGCCAUAUCCACCCAUUUCCUCCAAAUUUUGGUCCAUAUUUCUCCAUUUCCCCCAAAUUUCAG
ensembl:lncRNA